GGCCCAGAUCGUUUACCGUGAAAAAAUUAGAGUGUUCAAAGCAGGCAGAUCCAAUUUUCUGCCACCGAAUACAUUAGCAUGGGAUAAUGGAAUAGGACCCUGUCCUCCUAUUUUCAGUUGGUUUUGGCAGCGCGAGGACUAGGGUAAUGAUUAAUAGGGAUAGUUGGGGGCAUUAAUAUUUAAUUGUCAGAGGUGAAAUUCUUGGAUUUAUGAAAGAUUAACUUCCGCGAAAGCAUCUGCCAAGGAUGUUUUCAUUAAUCAAGAACGAAAGUUAGGGGAUCGAAGACGAUCAGAUACCGUCGUAGUCUUAACCAUAAACGAUGCCGACCAGCGAUUAGGAGACGUUGAAUACAAAACACCACCAUCGGCGCGGUCGUCCUUGGCGUGUCUCGGCUUCACGGCCGGGGCGCGCGAGGGCGGUUUAGCCCGGUGGCACCGGUGAAUGACUCCCCUAGCAGCUUGUGAGA
rnacentral:rRNA from 1 species